rnacentral:misc_RNA from 1 species
AACGCACGAGACCUGCGGACCUGCGGAGGGAUCAUUAUAGAGUGGUAAACCCCCCGUAAAAGGGGGGGACCUCCUGUCCUUUGUAGGCUCUUUUUUAAAAGGGCUUUUUUUAAUUUUCUGCUUCGGUGGGGUUAUCCCACCGGAACAACCUCAAAACUCUUAUCAAAAAAUCGUUCUGUCUGAGAACCUUUUAUAAUAAAAAAAACUUUUAGCAAUGGAUCUCUAGAUCGGAAGAGCACA